UUCGCCCUUUUCCGGUUGAUCCUGCCGGACCUGACUGCUAUCGGAUUGAUACUAAGCCAUGCGAGUCAUUGUAGCAAUACAAGGCAGACGGCUCAGUAACGCGUAGUCAACCUACCCUAUGGACGGGAAUAACCUCGGGAAACUGAGUAUAAUGCCCGAUAGAACACUAUACCUGGAAUGGUUUGUGUUUCAAAUGAUUUAUUGCCGUAGGAUGGGACUGCGGCCUAUCAGUUUGUUGGUGAGGUAAUGGCCCACCAAGACUAUUACAGGUACGGGCUCUGAGAGGAGUGGCCCGGAGAUGGGUACUGAGACACGGACCCAGGCCCUAUGGGGCGCAGCAGGCGAGAAAACUUUGCAAUGUGCGAAAGCACGACAAGGUUAAUCCGAGUGGUUUCUGCUAAAGGAACCUUUUGACAGUCCUAGAAACACUGUUGAAUAAGGGGUGGGCAAGUUCUGGUGUCAGCCGCCGCGGUAAAACCAGCACCUCAAGUGGUCAGGAUGAUUAUUGGGCCUAAAGCAUCCGUAGCCGGCUCAGUAAGUUUUCGGUUAAAUCUGUACGCUCAACGUACAGGCUGCCGGGAAUACUGCAGAGCUA
rnacentral:rRNA from 1 species